rnacentral:misc_RNA from 1 species
UCUCCGUUGGUGAACCAGCGGAGGGAUCAUUACAGAGUUGCAAAACUCCCAAACCCUUGUGAACGUUACCUCUCCCGUUGCUUCGGCGGGCGGCCCGGGCCCCGCGCCCGGCGCCCCCCGGCCCCCCGUGGGCGCCCGCCGGAGGUAAACCAAACCCUUGAAUUGCAUGGCCUCUCUGAAUCUUCUGUACUGAAUAAGUCAAGACUUUCAACAACGGAUCUCUUGGUUCUG